rnacentral:lncRNA from 1 species
UCCCCGACCUCCUCGUCCUGAGUGCGGCUGAUCUCGAUCAUGGACUUGGGCAGCGGGGUGCUGCACUUGGAUCUCCCUCAGGAUGGCGUUGCCGUCGUUGGUCAUCACGAUGCCUCCCAUGGGGUCCAGAAGCAUCUUCAUCAUCGCCCUCGGCCCAGGCACGUCCGGAUGAUGUCAGCGAUGGUCUUUGCAGCAGUGAUGUUCCCAGCCUGGACUUUUCUCCCCGACUCCCUCUUCACAUUCUGACUGAGCACGAGCACGGGGCGCGGGCCCAUCAUCGCGGCGGCGAUGGCGGCGGACGGCAACGCGGAGCGGCGGCGGAACGUUCUGGACCGCCUCGCACGGACGCGGCGCUUCGCUCCGCCGCCGCGGCGCCUCGCC